CUCUGGGGAAGGUUUCACUCAUGUAAGCAGCCCUCGAGCUGAGCAAUUACCUGUUCCACGCAGAGCUCUAAGGCAUGUCAAUUAAUCUCAUGAAGGAUGCCACAGGAUGAGAGCAAAGUGUUACUGCAGGUCAUCGGAGGGAGUGCAGGAAAGUACUUGAAGCACAAGCCUGCUGGUCACAUUUCUCAUUCAGUGUGGCUUUAGCCUACUAUGGCUGGAAUGUUUGUUUACAGGUAAAAAAAAGUAAAAAGUGCAUACUUCUUAUUAAAAGAAUACUUCUUCUGACAUUAAAAUAGGUCCAG
rnacentral:lncRNA from 1 species